rnacentral:rRNA from 1 species
UUCCGGUUGAUCCUGCCGGAAGCCACUGCUAUCGGGGUCCGACUAAGCCAUGCGAGUCAAGGGGGUGUCCCUCUGGGACACCACCGGCGGACGGCUCAGUAACACGUCGGUAACCUACCCUCGGGAGGGGGAUAACCCCGGGAAACUGGGGCUAAUCCCCCAUAGGCCUGAGGUACUGGAAGGUCCUCAGGCCGAAAGGGGCUUUUGCCCGCCCGAGGAUGGGCCGGCGGCCGAUUAGGUAGUUGGUGGGGUAACGGCCCACCAAGCCGAAGAUCGGUACGGGCUGUGAGAGCAGGAGCCCGGAGAUGGACACUGAGACACGGGUCCAGGCCCUACGGGGCGCAGCAGGCGCGAAACCUCCGCAAUGCGGGAAACCGCGACGGGGGGACCCCGAGUGCCGUGGCACCGCCACGGCUUUUCCGGAGUGUAAAAAGCUCCGGGAAUAAGGGCUGGGCAAGGCCGGUGGCAGCCGCCGCGGUAAUACCGGCGGCCCGAGUGGUGGCCGCUAUUAUUGGGCCUAAAGCGUCCGUAGCCGGGCCCGUAAGUCCCUGGCGAAAUCCCACGGCUCAACCGUGGGGCUUGCUGGGGAUACUGCGGGCCUUGGGACCGGGAGAGGCGGGGGGUACCCCUGGGGUAGGGGUGAAAUCCUAUAAUCCCAGGGGGACCGCCAGUGGCGAAGGCGCCCCGCUGGAACGGGUCCGACGGUGAGGGACGAAAGCCAGGGGAGCAAACCGGAUUAGAUUCCCGGGUAGU